rnacentral:rRNA from 1 species
AUUGAACGCUGGCGGCAGGCCUAACACAUGCAAGUCGAGCGGAUGAAGGGAGCUUGCUCCUGGUUUCAGCGGCGGACUGGUGAGUAAUUCCGAGGAAUCUGCCUGUUAGUGUGGUAUAACGGCCUGAAGCGGGGGCUAAUACCGCAUACGUGCUGAGGGCCUACGGGUGGGAGCUUCGGACCUCACGCUAUCACAUGAUCCAAUGUCGGAGUAGCGAGUUGGUGGGGUAAAGGCCUACCAAGGCGACAAUCCGUAACUCGUCUGAGAGUAUGAGCAGUCAACCUGGAACUGAGACACGGUCCAGACUCCUAAGGGAGGGCGCAGUGGGGAAUAUUGGACCAUGGGGGGAAACCUGAUCCAACCAUGACGCGUGUGUGAAGAAAGUCUUUGGAGUUGAAAGCACUUUUUGUUGGGAGAAAAGGCAGUAAGUUAAUAACUUGGUGUUUUGGAGUUAACCCAAGAAAAAGGAACGGCUAACUUCGUG